CUGCCUGUUCUCCCCCCUUCCCUGCCCACAGGUCUUCCUGGGGGGCAGCAUUGCCAGGGGGGGCCCUGUGACUGUGCUGGAGGACAAGGAGCUGCAGUGUCAGCCAGAGCCCUUUGUCAUCCAGGGCAAGAAGGUUCCAGGUGGGCCUCAGAUGCUGCAGCUGAGCUUGGAUGGGAAGAGGUUGUACGUCACCAACUCCCUGUACAGCGGCUGGGACAAGCAGUUCUACCCCGACCUGCUCCGCGCCUGUUUGCUCGUGCCUUUGGCAGGGAAGGCUCUGUCCUGCUGCAGAUCGACGUGGACACCGAGAGAGGGGGGCUGGCAGUGAACCCAAACUUCCUGGUGGAUUUUGGGAAGGAGCCGGACGGGCCAGCGCUGGCCCACGAGAUGAGAUACCCUGGGGGGGACUGCACCUCGGACAUCUGGCUCUGACCAUCCUCCUGGGGCUGCUCCAUCCCCUCCCAGAGCUUCCCAAACCUUCCCUUCCUCACCAGGAGGAUCAGGGCCCCUGGAGCUUUGCCCGCUGUCUGAAUUCAGAUUUCUCCUCCUGAACUCUCACUUCCAUCUCAUUCCUGUGUCCCUGCACCGAUGCCACAAAAAAUCAGCAAUAAAAUCACCCUUCAGCUCA
rnacentral:lncRNA from 1 species